CCUACGGGGUGCUGCAGUGGGGAAUAUUGGACAAUGGGCGAAAGCCUGAUCCAGCCAUGCCGCGUGUGUGAAGAAGGCCUUCGGGUUGUAAAGCACUUUCAUUGGGGAAGAAAGCCUUGGGGCUAAUACCCUCGAGGAAGGACAUUACCCACAGAAGAAGCACCGGCUAACUCCGUGCCAGCAGCCGCGGUAAUACGGAGGGUGCGAGCGUUAAUCGGAAUUACUGGGCGUAAAGCGCGCGUAGGCGGUCUGAUAAGCCGGUUGUGAAAGCCCCGGGCUCAACCUGGGAACGGCAUCCGGAACUGUCAGGCUAGAGUGCAGGAGAGGAAGGUGGAAUUCCCGGUGUAGCGGUGAAAUGCGUAGAGAUCGGGAGGAAUACCAGUGGCGAAGGCAGCCUUCUGGACUGACACUGACGCUGAGGUGCGAAAGCGUGGGUAGCAAACAGGAUUAGAUACCCGAGUAGUC
rnacentral:rRNA from 1 species